CAGCCGCCGCGGUAAAACGGAGGGGGCUAGCGUUGUUCGGAAUUACUGGGCGUAAAGCGCACGUAGGCGGCUUGGUAAGUUAGAGGUGAAAGCCUGGGGCUCAACUCCAGAAUUGCCUUUAAGACUGCAUCGCUUGAACGUCGGAGAGGUGAGUGGAAUUCCGAGUGUAGAGGUGAAAUUCGUAGAUAUUCGGAAGAACACCAGUGGCGAAGGCGGCUCACUGGACGACUGUUGACGCUGAGGUGCGAAAGCGUGGGGAGCAAACAGGAUUAGAUACCCCCGUAGUCCCUGUCUCUUAUAC
rnacentral:rRNA from 1 species